CAAUACUUGAGCAAGAGUGUCGUAAGGGUGCGUAACACGUAUGCAAUCUGCCCUCAACAGGAGAAUAGCUCCCCGAAAGGGGAAUUAACACUCCGCAAUAAUAAGAUAUGGCAUCACAUUUUAUUUAAAACUACGGUGGUUGAGGAUGAGCAUGCGCAUGAUUAGUUAGUUGGCGGGGUAACGGCCCACCAAGACGAUGAUCAUUAGGGGAACUGAGAGGUUGAUCCCCCACACUGGCACUGAGAUACGGGCCAGACUCCUACGGGAGGCAGCAGUAGGGAAUAUUGGACAAUGGGUGCGAGCCUGAUCCAGCCAUGCCGCGUGCAGGAAGACGGCCUUCUGGGUUGUAAACUGCUUUUGCCAGGGGAUAAAAAGUCCCUGCGGGGAAAAUUGAAGGUACCUGGUGAAUAAGCCACGGCUAACUACGUGCCAGCAGCCGCGGUAAUACGUAGGUGGCAAGCGUUGUCCGGAUUUAUUGGGUUUAAAGGGUGCGUAGGUUGUUUUGUAAGUCAGUGGUGAAAUCCGGCAGCUCAACUGUCGAUGUGCCAUUGAUACUGCAGAACUUGAGUACAGACGAGGUAGGCGGAAUUGACGGUGUAGCGGUGAAAUGCUUAGAUAUCGUCAAGAACACCGAUAGCGAAGGCAGCUUACUAGACUGUAACUGGCACUGAUGCACGAAAGUGUGGGGAUCAAACAGGAUUAGAUACCCUGGUAGUCCACACUGUAAACGAUGAUUACUCGAUGUUGGCGAUACACGGCCAGCGUCUUAGCGAAAGCGAUAAGUAAUCCACCUGG
rnacentral:rRNA from 1 species